rnacentral:rRNA from 1 species
CAGCCGCCGCGGGAAAACGAGGGGUGCAAGCGUUAUUCGGAUUGAUUGGGUGUAAAGGGUGUGCAGACGGCUUAUUAAGUCACUUGUUAAAUUCUUCGGCCUAACUGAAGGUCUGCAAGUGAUACUGAUGAGCUAGAGUGUGGAAGAGAGAAGUGGAAUUCUCGGAGUAGCGGUAAAAUGCGUAGAUCUCGAGAGGAACACCAAUGGCGAAGGCAGCUUCUUGGUCCAUUCCUGGCGUUCAUACACGAAAGCGUGGGGAGCAAACAGGAUUAGAUACCCCCGUAGUCCCUGUCUCUUAUAC